UACGAAGGGGGCUAGCGUUGCUCGGAUUGACUGGGCGUAAAGGGCGCGUAGGCGGUUCGUACAGUCAGACGUGAAAUUCCUGGGCUCAACCUGGGGGCUGCGUUUGAUACGUGCGGACUUGAGUGCGGAAGAGGGUCGUGGAAUUCCCAGUGUAGAGGUGAAAUUCGUAGAUAUUGGGAAGAACACCGGUGGCGAAGGCGGCGAGCUGGUCCAUUACUGACGCUGAGGCGCGACAGCGUGGGGAGCAAACAGG
rnacentral:rRNA from 1 species